CCUACGGGAGGCAGCAGUGAGGAAUAUUGGUCAAUGGUCGGAAGACUGAACCAGCCAAGCCGCGUGAGGGACGAAGGUGCAAAGCAUUGUAAACCUCUUUUGUCAGGGGACAAAAUCCGGGUCGAGUCCCUGACUGAGGGUACCUGAAGAAAAAGCAUCGGCUAACUCCGUGCCAGCAGCCGCGGUAAUACGGAGGAUGCGAGCGUUAUCCGGAUUUAUUGGGUUUAAAGGGUGCGUAGGCGGCCUGUUAAGUCAGCGGUAAAAGCCCGGGGCUCAACCCCGGCGAGCCGUUGAAACUGGCAGUCUUGAGUUGGAGAGAGGUAUGCGGAAUGCGCGGUGUAGCGGUGAAAUGCAUAGAUAUUGCGCAGAACUCCGAUUGCGAAGGCAGCAUACCGGCGCCGAACUGACGCUGAGGCACGAAAGCGUGGGUAUCGAACAGGAUUAGAUACCCGUGUAGUC
rnacentral:rRNA from 1 species